UAACGAACGACUCUACUUUAAAUCAAGAUUCCUUUCAGAUCUGCACAUCUUUUCUUUUUUGGCACGGACUUGUGACGACAGGGGAUGACCCCUUCGGACAACAAAAAUAAACCCUAAUGUGGACAAAGUCGAAGGCCCGGUUACCCUUAGACCGGAUGGGGGGAGAGACCCAACAGCGUCCAUAUGCGCCUCCACAGCCAUGUUAGGGACAGGAGGAGAACCUCGCCCUAACAUGAGCAAAGUCGAAGGCACGAUUUCCCUU
rnacentral:lncRNA from 1 species